AAACGAGCCCCCCUUUCCACCCUGUCCCCCUCGGUUUAUUUUCCGAUUCUCCCUCUGCCAAGCCCCCACCUGCUCCCUUCGAAGUUCUCCAGGAGGCGUUUGGCUGGUGCAGGAGCCGGGACUGCGGUGGCCGGGCGGUCCCGCGCGCGCUGGCUCAGCCGGGGUCUCACUCUGGAUGUCUCGGGGGCUCUUGCCAGCAGCAGAGACCCUGCCGUGCAGGCAAGCGAGCUCCGUGGGCACAGCGUGCAUCAGGGAGCUGCGCUGAGACGCUUGCCUCCGACAGGCAUGGUGGGAUUACUGCUUAUUUGCAAUGCGCCACGUCUGAACUUGUGCUCUGAGUGAGAGACCCCGUGCCUGACCUUCGGAAGAGCUGCAAGGUCAGUGCAGGGGUGGCAGUGCCAGUGGAGAGAGACCUUGAGUUUCCUGCCCAGAGCCGGCAGCGUGCAGCUUCGGCACCGGAAAGGUCUCUGGAAUAUCUGGAAAUGCAGGACAGGAUUCCUGGUGUGGGAAUAUAACCGGACCCUCUGCAUUAGGCGUAAGGAAGGCAAAACCGGCACGUCUUCUGCCUUGACAAGCAAGUGAGAGGCAGCAGCGCAUCCAGACCCCAAAGCGUCCUUAGCUGACGACUGCUCAACUUUGGUGCCUUCCUCCUGCGCUGCGGGGUGACUCCCCCGUGCUGGUCCUCACCGGAGCAGUUAGCAGAGAAGCAGCUGAGUCUGACCCGGAGCCUGUGCAGGAUCGGUGCCACUGGGAAUAACUGUGCCCUCCUGUGCUUGGCCUCUGUGGAUUCCCACCUGCGGUGCUGGAAGGGUUCCCUGCAGCUCCCUCCCUGAGACUUCCCCAGGCCUUUCUCUGCAGUUCGUGCUUUCUGUACCUCCAUGGAGGUACCAAUGCUGGUUUAAGCAAUGGGAUACAGUAAUCGGUACCCACCGGGACCUCCAGUUGCCUCCUCACCUCUCUGGGUAAG